UACAGAGGGUGCUAGCGUUGUUCGGAAUCAUUGGGCGUAAAGGGCGCGUAGGCGGCCAUUCAAGUCGGGGGUGAAAGCCUGUGGCUCAACCACAGAAUUGCCUUCGAUACUGUUUGGCUUGAGUUUGGUAGAGGUUGGUGGAACUGCGAGUGUAGAGGUGAAAUUCGUAGAUAUUCGCAAGAACACCAGUGGCGAAGGCGGCCAACUGGACCAACACUGACGCUGAGGCGCGAAAGCGUGGGGAGCAAACAGG
rnacentral:rRNA from 1 species